UUGAGGAACCUUUUUCAACAGUAUUUGAACUAAAUGAUCCUGACAAACACGUAUGAAAUCCAGUAGACACAUGUAAACUCCCACAAUCUGGAAAUAAAAUCCUCUUGGAUCAUCUCCCUAAUGCCAACAAGAAGUCAAGCCCAUGCAAUUGUUGCUACAACUCUGAUUAUGGAUGAAAGCUUAAAACCUUAAAGCCUCUGAAGAGUUCCUGAAAUCUGUCUUUUAUUAAAGAGCAAGCAACGUCUAAAUUAACUUUUUUUUUGCUGAUGAACUGUAUAAAUGAGUGUCUAAUAGUGUUUUAAAUGUGUGUAUUCAUUAUUUUAGCAUUUUGGUGCAUUUUCUUUAAAAAUUAAAAAUUCUGCCUAAAUACCACAGUAUAGCGCCACCUUCAGCUUAAAACAUAGAAUUUGACUCAUUUUGAAUAAAUUUUAGCCAAUGGCUAAAGAGUAAGAUACUACGUAAACCAGUAGAGUACUACGUAGCAGCUCUGUGUCAAAGUUAUAAAAGCAACGAGCGUCUCGGCCACGCCUUAAGGCGAGUUGGGAGUUGGAUUUGCAAGCGAGUGUAGGAGGUUAGCCGUAGUUCAGCAUUAGCAUAUAGCAUUAGCAUAUCCUAGUCUUUAGCGUAGCCUUUAGUGUUAUACAUACUUAUUUAGUGUUAGUUUGGCUGUUGGAUAGUGUAGUUUAGUUAGUGUUUGGCUGUUAGUGUUAUUAGGAAAGUAGUUCAGGUUUAGUGCUCCAUAUCGUGUUAGUAUGCUGUGAGAAGGUGUAGUGUCGUAUGGUUGCGGUGGCUCUGUGGGGUUGUAUUCAUUUCCGCUGGACUUAGAAAUUAGGCGCCAGUGGUUGCGCGCAAUCGGUGUCUGGAAAACAUUCAGCUCCUGCCUGGUGCUGUAGUUUGCAACCAGCAUUUUACCCGCGAUUCUGCACGUCUCCGUUUGAAGAGGGAGGCAAUGCCCACCAUGGCUCUUCCGCGAUUUAGAUGCAGCCCACCGACUCUGCUCCCCCACCAUGUCGGGCUCCAGUCUGAGGUGAGUAAGCUAAAUAAAAGUUAACAUCUUCUAAAGACAAUUUCCUACCUAAAUGCAAAGUUUGCGAGACGUGGUUCACUCCAUUUAGCUAAUAUCAGCCUGCACUGCCUUCGGGCAGAUUUGUCAAGUUCACAAAAUGUGGAACGGGAUGUUAGGUUAAAAUCAGCGGCGAAUCGGAACCGGAACAUAUCUCGAAGCCCUGGCUGACAAAACGGUCCACAUGACUGUCAGGCUCAGAGAAAAUUCGGGUUGUUUUUGUGUCAGUCGGUAAUUCUGCAACAGUGACUCUAACUAACGCAGCACUAGUUGACAGACAGCAUUACAGCGUGAAAUCCAGCACAGCGUGACCCGGUUCCGUGAGGAAUUCUGUUCAGGAGGUCGCAUUUCAGGCUCUCCACAUCAUAUGUGACUGCCUUUUACGUUAUAAUAACAUCACACACUAGGAAUGUUAUAAAGCGCCUAUAUAGGACAGUUUCUUUUGUAUAUUAUCUGACUUUAUAAACAUCAAUGUGCUUCUAUUUUUUUUUCAGGCUAAAUCUACCCAAGACACUGGCUGUCAGACUGAUUUAGUAGUCUGCAAGAAUGCACUUGUCCAGGCUGACGUGAAGCGUUACCCGUAGCAAAGAGCUCACAGCCUCAGUGUGUCUUGUGACACAGGGACCAUGACGGAAAUUCAUCUUCCAGAAGGUCCCAGAGCAGCAUCCACACCCCUGACAAGACCAAGAUGUGAGGUGUCUGCUGUUGAUUCCAGCUUCCACCUCAGUGACAGUGCAAACUCAGUGAACUGUUCAAGGUAAAAAUAUUGAAACAUUUCUGAAUUUUUAAGAUAUUAACAAUUAAAUAAACGUAUGUGAUUACAUCAUGACAUCAUGAAGGAGGCUACUGAUUCUGGCCCUGUGACACUUGGUGGUGACGUGUGAGCUGAUUCACCUGGUAAAUAACUUUUACAUUAAAUAUUUUGUUCUUUGCUAUCAAAAGUAAAUUAACUAAUAACCUGCAUUAUUGCAGGACACUCAGCAAAAUAUGGACUCUACACCAUGAGGCAGGCACACAUUAAUACUCUAUAAGAGCACAUAAGCCUGGCUGAUCACCUGAUAACUCCUGUCAUCUGGUUAUGACAGCAUGAGGAUGUCCUCACACACGUGUAACCUAUCAGCUCAUCUGGCAGAAUAGAGAGAGAAGAGACAACACCACAUCUCCUGUUCCUGGAAAGCCUUCAGCCAUCCUUCGAUGACUGAGAUCCUCCAUCAGCUCUGACUCCUGUCUGCCUACAAUUAUUAUAAUAAAUAUUGUGUUUGACAAGUUUUUUGUGCUGCCAAAUAUCUCAUUUUGAUUCCAGUUUUGAUAUUUUAAUGGAUAUUUAUAAAUUACAUUAAUUGAAUUAUAACAUUGCAUGUUUAACUAGCUCUAUUGUGAUGAAUUAAACUAGCACCUCACUGUUAAAAGCUCGUUUUAAUUUCAAGCAUGUUUAAGUAUUUAUGGACAUGAACAAAAACAGGAAAUAUAUAAAUUGAGAUUUAUUUAAUUAAUAUAACAAAUAAGGGGGAAUGAGUCAUUGAAAGGCACAUUCUUCUGGAAGCUCCUGAUCCUGACGACACCAGAAGAGACCAGCUGCAGACACCUGCAACCAAGAGCAGCUAGUAUCAGUAAAUAAAUAAUGAAAUCAGGGCAGUUUUAGUGGGCUGAACACAUUACAGAAUAAUUUUCUCAUGGGAUAUUUUCAUAACUUUAUGCAGCAGACUGUAACUUGAGCCCAAGGCUCCUGGAGAGCUGCUAUCCAGCACGUUUCAGUGGGUUUUCCUGCUUUAACAGGUUAGAUUAGCUGUUAAGCAGCUCAGCUAUUUGUUGCUGAUUAAAACCAGGUGUGUUGAAGCAGAUAAACCUCUAAAACAUGCUGAAUAAUAGCUCUCGGACCGUGGAGCAAAACCCUGCAGCUAAUCUGAUGCUAUGGCUAACGGCUACUUACCAUUCAGAGCUGGUUCUGUUGGGUCAAUUCCGGUAAUUUCAGGCAACUCACAAGCUCAAAACAAUAAGGCUCAGGUCCGCUUGUCUCCUCCAAAUAGACUUGGUCCCUUUCUUCUCGAGUGUCUGGGUAAGGAGGGGGAGAAACGUCCUCCACUUCUAAUGACUGCUCAGAGUGAAGGGAGCUAGCAUCGUCUAGUUAGCCAUCGUCUUCGUCACUGCCGCGGCUCCGCCCUCUCGGUCCUCCAGGGAACGCCUACUAAUGUUGCAUUUUUUAAAAUUGAUACGUGGGUGGAGUAAGACUCUGAGGGGGACAUUAUCACGUCUUUAAUAAGUCGUUUUUAAAGGAAUUAUAAAGUUACUGUGUGUAAAAAGAGAGAAGACAGAAAUAUCUGAGACAGAAUAUUUUGUUUAUGUUUUAGGUUUCCAGCAAAAUAAUCUAAAAUUAAAUUUUAAACAAUUAAAUUUAAAAAAGCUUCUGGUUUAGUUUUUUGGAAGGGCUUUAUCUUCAUAUUGGGUAAAAAAUAAAUAAAUAAAACAAUUGUCAAUGUCCCCCACAAAUUGAAAACUGGGUAAAAGUAAUUUUGUUAUCUGCUAGGGAAAAAAACAACACUCACUAUGAUAAUUUAUGAGGUCAGGUGUACGUUUUAUUUUUUUACUUAAUUAAUCCUACAGUUGCUGUAAUUUCUCGCUCCACCAAAGAUGUGGACAAGGGCAUCUCUUAAUCUUUUCUCUCUCGCUCGCUUUGUGGAACAAAUGUGCUAAAUUCAACCAAUUUUCCCUCAAUAAACUGCAUAAGACAGAUGGAGGGCUUUCAUGCAGUCAGCAAAUCAUGUUGGGCAAGAUUGAUGCUCUCUUGCUUUCUCACACAAACACUCACUCCAUCUUUGCUGCCGCUGGAUCAGUUUGUGUUUGAGUGCUCAUGCGGUCAACAGCAGGAGCUUCAAUUUGACAAUCCAGGCCUGCGCCUCCCUCCAAUCACAGUUACAAAAAAACAAGGAAAUAAAAAUGUUUCCUGAUUUUUGUGAAGAGGAAGGGUCUGUUUGAGCUCUAUAAUACACUUUGACUUAAAUUAUCUUGCUUUACAAUUGCUGCUGGGAGACAUUUUCCUUAAAAAAAAAUCUUUCCUCAUCUUUUUCAAAUUUGGAGCAACUGUCUAGUUUUUCCUAGUUAUUCCCUGAGAUUGCACUCUGUAGGUUUAGUUUUAUUUUUGUUUUGGUGAUGGUUCGUAAGUAAACCCUGAAGCCUUCCUUAUU